UGAUAUGCUCUAGGGCAUACUACAAACACAUUUAUGGUGUCACUCUGCUUCAGUAGUUAUAUUGUUGAUGAGGUGUAUUUGAGCUUUAGAUAUUGUAGGUUCCCCUUUUUCAUUGUAUAUCUUCAUAUCUAUAGUUCAUAGUUUAUCCACUACUCAUUCCUAGGUAGCAUAGAAACUGUUAUCAUUAACUCUUCUAAAUGCUCAAUAUCAUAUGAACUCAAUUAUACUAAUGUGAUAGAUAGUGAUAUAUUCAAAGGUGCUUAUUUCAUGUUGUUUCACUUUUUUUCUUCUAUUAAGUAAAAUAAUUGUUUAUCUUUCUUUAGAGAACAACUCUUUGUUGAGGAUUAAGGUUGUACUUUUUAGCUUCACUAUUCAUAGCCUUGUGCUUAGCCAGAUUUUGUGUACUUUUUAACUAUAGGUAGUUAUGAUGAUUUAAAAGAAUAGAUCUUCAGCUGUUUAUGCAAACCCAUUUAUGGUAUUGGCUUGCUUGUGGAGAAAGUGUCAAUUUCAUUCUUUCCCUAAAAGUUGGGCAAUCAACCUCUUUGUAAAACAUUUUCCCAUCACAUUUUGCAUAAGUUGCCAUACCAUACUACAACUCCAAACUAACCCAACUUCACUCUGGCUUGGUUACUAAACUUGCAGGUUUAAAAGAUUGACAGGUCGGA
rnacentral:misc_RNA from 1 species